rnacentral:rRNA from 1 species
UACAGAGGUGGCAAGCGUUGUUCGGAAUUACUGGGCGUAAAGGGCGCGUAGGCGGCCUUCUAAGUCAGACGUGAAAUCCCCCGGCUUAACCUGGGAACUGCGUCUGAUACUGGAAGGCUUGAGUGCGGGAGAGGGAUGUGGAAUUCCAGGUGUAGCGGUGAAAUGCGUAGAUAUCUGGAGGAACACCGGUGGCGAAGGCGGCAUCCUGGACCGACACUGACGCUGAGGCGCGAAAGCAUGGGGAGCGAACAGG